GGAACUCAGAGGUGAUGCCUAAUAGCAUAAUCUCGGCAUAAAGUGGAAUGGACCGUUUUCUGAAAAUGUACAAGUCUACCUGAGUCUGGAGCCGAAUGCAGAGAUACCGGGGCCCGUGUUCUCAGCAGCUAGACUGUCUACUCCACCCCAAACACUGGUGGUGCCUAUGUGGAUCAUUAGACCCACCAGGGCACGUGAGAAAGUAUCCCGUUGAGUAAGGGGUUCUUCUAGACGCUAUAGACUGUGGCUUCUCAUCUUGCAGAUCCUCGACAGGUACUGCCAGAGGUUGGUGGCAAAUGUCCUGACCAUCUUUAAGUGGUCAGUACGACAGUCUUAAGUUCAUCCACAAGUCUGGACAACUGUCCCCAGAGUCCAUUUCUAGAGCCUUUUCAGUGUACCCACACAGUAAACAUUUUCCCAUCCCCUUUUUCCACUCCAGACCCCAGGAAAGCUGGGCCGUGCUCCUGAGCUCUGUAGAUUUCUCUCCUGAGAUAAAGUGACCCCCACAUUCCAUGUUCUUUAGCGCCUGGCUUAUGUCAGUUCAUUCAUGUCAAUAUGCCUGAAUGUCACUUUUUAUAGCUCAGUAAGAUGAGCCUGUAUAGUACCACAUAUUUUAAAAAUUAAUUUAUCUGCCUGAAGGUUUUGAGAAGCAAAAGUAGAUAAUACGACCAGACUAGAAAUGUGUUCCAGUUGUUACAAAAAUACACAGUUGAGCUAUUUAGAGAAUUUCCUAACAUGCUACUCUUAGAUUAAGAUUGUAAUUAGUAGAUCUUGGGCAUACUCACUAUGGUGUGGAGCUGUGAUUAUCUACUCAGUUGUAACUAACACCCAGUGAAGCACACUGCUCUGCGGAUCUGUGUGUUUGUGGUGGAGCUUUAUGCGACAGCCAGGACUCAGGCCUAAUGGAUGAAUUGAUUUCUUGAUGGGUUCAUAAUCAGCUCACCUUUGGUGAGAUGUGGGAGGUGGGUUUUGGGGGUGGUGUCACCCUGGCUGAAGGGCCCUAGUGGGCCUGAGCAGGCAUGGUGCUGACAGGUCUUGCCUUUCUCUCUCCUCCUUGCUAAACCACAGAUUAUAUUCCUAAAGCUAGCCACCAAGGUCUAGUCCCUUAUUAACCAUUUCCUCCUCCUGGGGCUGACCACACAGGUCCAGCUAUCUAAGUAUUGGAGUCUGGUAGCCAGAAGCCCCCUAUUGGCUCACCUAGUUAACAUAUCCAGUUAAAACAAAGCAACUCACCCUGACACGGGCUUCCCCUUUCUCUUGAUAAACCUUUAUUUUCCUAUGGAUCAUGUGUGUAUCCUCUCUAUCCAGAGGCAGUCCAUUGUCCCUCUGGGGAAGCUAUCCCUUCCCUCCUCCCCAUAGUCCCUUCCCCUUCUCCCUAGUCCUCUGUCUCCUGUCUGUCUCUUACUCCCUGCCCUUUGUCCCUCCGCAGCAAAGGAAUCUCAUUUGUGCUGAGAACUUGGUCUCAGUGUGUUCUGUGCAGACUCUGGUCUUUCGCUGGCCAUUUCCUGUAUGCUCCUCCUUAUUGCCCUGCGUCUUUUAAGAAGUGAAGUGACAACACUGUGACAUGCCCGAUGCUGUUCAAAGAGCACAGGGACAGCGCCCGAGCCACAUUCUUGUCCCUUAAGUUCUAUUUGUUAGACAGUUUGGUCAGGGGGACAGAGAAGAGAUACACGCACACAUGCAGGGUGUGCAUGAGGAAGGAAUCGUUUUUUGUAUAGUUUCUGCUCUCGCCAUGCUUUUAUCAUUCAUUUUCUCCCAUUAAUUCAGCCGUGUAACAUGCGCACACUUAGGUUAUAGCUUUAAUGCAGAUAUGGUGGUAUGCAGAGCUUUUCAACUCAUAAGAUGGUGGCUAUUUUACAAGAACCACUUAGGCUGGGCUUUGGGCAUGAACAUCAAAGUGCUUCUUGGUAGGUCACCAGACUACUCAAUGGUUUCUAAAAAGGUUCUGAUCUCUCAUUCCCUUUGUGUUGGCUCCAAAUUAGCUUUUCCUUAAAAUGUCUAAGGUGUAUCCCAAAGGCACCCAAGACAAAGGGCAAGGAGUAAGAGACAGAGACAGGAGACAGACCGGGGAGAAGGGGAAAGGGCUAUGAGAGGGGGGAAGGGAUAUCUGCCCCUGAGGGACAACAGACUGCCUCUGGAUAGAGAGGAGACUGACAUGAUCCAUAGGAAAAUGGCGGAUAAUCAAGGGAAAGGGGAAAUCCAUGUCAGGAUGACCUAUAGGAACAGUUAUCUCACUUAAAAUGGAACGGACAGGAGAAAGUUUGUUUUCCCUCCUGGGAUAGGCUGAGGCCUCUGUAAUAGCUAGGCAGGAGAGUGCCUAGGCUCUGGUCUCCUCUGUUGGAUGAGAGAGUGCUGAUACGCCCUGGUGUUAUGCGAUCUUAAAACCAUGUAAUAAUGUCUUUCACCAGCAUGAGCAGAGCCCAGCAUGCUGGCUCCUUCGCUCUUCCCACACAGUGUACCAUGAUGCAGUAAGGGAGAAGCUGGGCAGACAGGAUCAGCAAAGGCAGCUGACAGCAACAUUGUAGCGAACAGAUGGUGGAGACGUGGCGACUGGAGAACUGUGGAAGCUGAUAGUCACUUUGGGGGCUGAAAGAAAACAAUACAGUUAGUGCAGAGAUGGAAGGGUGUCAGGAGACAUCCGGGAAAGGCUAAGGCUGGUAGGAAAGGACUGGAGUAAGCACAGGACACACCAAGACCAAGUUCUCAGCACAAAGGAGACUUAUUUGCUCCAGAGGGACGGAGGGCAGAAAGUAAGAGACAGGACUAUGGAGAACUAGGGGGAAGGGGCAAGGAAUAUGGGGAGGGGGGAAGAAACGUUUGCCUCAGAUGGACAACGCACUGCCUCUGGAUAGAGAGUGUCCAGUGUCUGUCCCAACCUUUUGGGUUUCAGAGCUGAGGUGGAUCACAGCAUUGGAUGAAAGCCACAAGACUGAUAAUCUCUGGCCUUACAAAUGCACUGGAGGCUAGAAGCUGAUGGCUUCUGGAAACUUAACACUCUCUUGCUUACUCUGUGGUUGAAGACAGCUGGCUUUUUUCCCCCUCUUUAACUCUCUGUGCUUUAUUGAAUUUUGGGAACUUAACUCUUUAUUGCUAUUCUGUGCUUCAAAAAAGCACUGAAAACUUAACUCUUUGUGCUUAAAUAAGUGCUGAUUUCUAGUGAAUUAACAUGUGUAUAGCAGCUGGAAAUUAAGUAAAAGGAUUUAUUAAUAGAGCUUCUUUCUCUGGGGAGUCUGCCGGGAGUCCCUGGAGGGCCAGCUGAGAGGCUCAGAGCUUGCUAAUGCUUUCUAAACCAGAGAGAAAAGAAAGGGAAAGAGCUCACACAGACAACUCACACUCAGCAAAGUGGAAAAUGGCUGCACCACCUUCCUUUAUUGGCUUGUUUUUUUAUAGCUUUAAGGCAAAAGUUCUCUAUGUAAGAAAGAAUUACCUCAUAGAGAAGAUGUUACAAAAAAGGGGAGUUACAGGAAGGUAUCGAUAACAAGUUCAAAGCAGUGUUUCACACUGUAAGCUCGUUACAAGUUCAGAGCCACAGUUUUUACAUGGCCUUGCCUUAACAUAGUGCACACCUGUAGCUUCAUCUUUGACCCUGAAUAUUUUCCCUUGAACGCAGAUUUGUCCCAAGCCUAUUUAUUUAUCUUUUUAUUAUAAUUAUGAAAGCUCAUUGUACUUCCUAUUAUGAAGCCUUUACUUACCAUCAUGAGGCGUGGGCACAUUCUAUUCAUGAAUAUAACUUUUCUAGCAAAACAACUAAAACCACCUCUUAAAACUUUCUUCCUCCUCACUCCUUUUCCGGCUGGAAGCAUGGAGGAUGUUCCAGAGAAGAAAAAGAAGGUUGCCGCUGUGCCAGAAACCCUUAAGAAAAAGCAAAGGAAUUUCGCAGAGUUGGAGGUGAAUCACCCGAGGAAGAAGUUUGCCCUGAAGACACUGCGAGAGGGAAGGAGGAAGCUCAGCUGUGAGAAGGCAAGGCACUACCACAAGUAUAGGCAGACAUACUGGACUGCGAUUCGGAUGGCCAGGAUGGCAAGGAGAGCUGGGAACUUCAAUGUGCCCGCAGAACCAAAACUGGCCUUUGUCAUCACAAUCCGAGGUAUCAGAGGAGUAAGCCCAAAAGUCCGCAAGGUAGUGCAGCUUCUUCGUCUUCUACAGAUCUUCACUGGCACCUUUGUUAAGCUCAACAAGGCUUCAAUUAUCAUGCUGCGGAUUGUGGAACCGUACAUUGCACGGGGGUAUCCCAACCUGAAGUCAGUAAACAAGCUCAUUUACAAGUGAGGCUAUGGCAAAAUCAACAAGAAGCGGAUCGCCUUGACAGAUAAUUCGUUGAUUGCUCGAUCUCUUGGUACAUUUGGCAUCGCCUGCAUGGAGGAUCUAGGUCAUGAGAUCUAAACAGCUGGAAAAGGAUUCAAGAAAGCAAGUAGCUUCCCGUGGCUUCAAAUGACCUUCCCACAAGGUGGAAAGAAGAAAAACAGAACUCACGUUGUAGAAGGUGGAGAUGCUGGCAACAGGGACGACCAGAUAAACAAGCUUAUUAGAUGGAUGAACUAAGGUGUCACCCAUGAUAUUUUUGUAACCUGGUCAGUUAAUAAAGUCACAGCUUGGCAAA